rnacentral:lncRNA from 1 species
GUAAUAUCCCUCGCUUUUGAAAAUUAUUAAUAAAGAUUUAUUUAUAAAUCAGAUGACCUAUAUGUAAAUAUGGAAAUUUCAAGGACUAAACUGUUAAGUUGUAAAAAGAAGAAAAUAAAGAAAACCGAAAAUUCGGUUUUAUCCCACCGCCUCCCACGAGAAACAGAGAGAAGCGGUGGGGCGUGGGGAGAAGAAGAAGAGAAGUAGAGGGAGAAGAGAAGAAGAGGGAAAAGAAGAGAGGAAGAAGAGGAAGAAGAGGGAGAAGAGAAGAAAAGAAGAAGUAGAAGAGACGGAAGAUGGAGAGGAGANN